rnacentral:rRNA from 1 species
GGAGCUAAUCUCAUAAAACCGUUCUCAGUUCGGAUUGUAGGCUGCAACUCGCCUACAUGAAGCUGGAAUCGCUAGUAAUCGCGGAUCAGCAUGCCGCGGUGAAUACGUUCCCGGGCCUUGUACACACCGCCCGUCACACCACGAGAGUUUGUAACACCCGAAGUCGGUGGGGUAACCUUUUUGGAGCCAGCCGCCUAAGGUGGGACAGAUGAUUGGGGUGAAGUCGUAACAAGGUACCCGUAUCGGAAGGUGCGG